rnacentral:rRNA from 1 species
GAUGAACGCUGGCGGCGUGCCUAAUACAUGCAAGUAGAACGCUGAAGGAGGAGCUUGCUCUUCUGGAUGAGUUGCGAACGGGUGAGUAACGCGUAGGUAACCUGCCUGGUAGCGGGGGAUAACUAUUGGAAACGAUAGCUAAUACCGCAUGACAACAGUUAUUGCAUGAUAACUGUUUAAAAGGGGCAACUGCUCCACUACCAGAUGGACCUGCGUUGUAUUAGCUAGUUGGUGAGGUAACGGCUCACCAAGGCGACGAUACAUAGCCGACCUGAGAGGGUGAUCGGCCACACUGGGACUGAGACACGGCCCAGACUCCUACGGGAGGCAGCAGUAGGGAAUCUUCGGCAAUGGACGGAAGUCUGACCGAGCAACGCCGCGUGAGGGAAGAAGGGUUUCGGAUCGUAAAGCUCUGUUGUAAGAGAAGAACGAGGGUGAGAGUGGAAAGUUCACACUGUGACGGUAUCUUACCAGAAAGGGACGGCUAACUACGUG